rnacentral:tRNA from 1 species
GGCGCCGUGGCCAAGUGGUAAGGCAGAGGUCUGCAAAACCUCCAUUCGCCGGUUCGAAUCCGGCCGGCGCCUCCA